UACAGAGGGUGCGAGCGUUGUCCGGAAUCACUGGGCGUAAAGGGCGCGUAGGUGGCGCCCCAAGUCCGUGGUGAAAGCUCGAUGCUCAACAUCGAGUCGGCCACGGAAACUGGGGGGCUCGAGCACUGUAGAGGCAGAUGGAAUUCCGGGUGUAGCGGUGGAAUGCGUAGAGAUCCGGAAGAACACCGGUGGCGAAGGCGGUCUGCUGGGCAGUAGCUGACACUGAGGCGCGACAGCGUGGGGAGCAAUCAGG
rnacentral:rRNA from 1 species